rnacentral:rRNA from 1 species
CGUGAGGAACCUGCCUUUCAGAGGGGGACAACAGCUGGAAACGGCUGCUAAUACCGCAUGACGCAUUCGGAUGGCAUCAUCUGAAUGCCAAAGAUUUAUCGCUGAAAGAUGGCCUCGCGUCCGAUUAGCUGGUUGGUGAGGUAAUGGCCCACCAAGGCGACGAUCGGUAGCCGGACUGAGAGGUUGAACGGCCACAUUGGGACUGAGACACGGCCCAG